CACUCUCAUGUCCUGCUCUUCUGUGUCAUGCAGGACCUGGGUUCUCCGGCGAUAGAAGAACAAGUUGAUCAGCCUACAAUAGAUGAUGAGACCGUGCUUAUUGUUCCUUCUUCCCAUGGUUUUAUCCAGACGACGGAUGAUAUCGACGGUGAAUCAGUCCUGCCCCUGACAACUCUAACAGAUCCUAUCCUACAGCAUCACGGAGAUGGGUCACACAUUAUUGGCUCAGCGUUGGGCAGUCCUGACUCGGAAGAUUCGAAGGACGUUGAAGACUUAGUGAGCUGUCACUGAGAAGCAGUAGUCGUGUCCGUUUUCUAUUGACCGUGUUUGCAUUGUGAAAUUAGUUACAACCCUGUGCCACAUUUCCAAAGAAAGCAGUCAGUCCGUGUCUUCAAACAGAAACUUCCGGUUUGACGUGGCUACAGUGCACUUUCUCUGCUCAGGCUGUUUACCUCAUUUGUAAAGGGUUACAGAGCAGCCAACUGAAGCCUGGUGUACUGCGUCUCAGCCAGGGUGUCUCCGUGUGGUGAAGAAUCCCUGUUGCAGUGCUCACUGCUAGGAUCCACGUGGUCAGCUCUCAUCUGACUUGUUACUGGUGUGCUGAACCGCGCAUCCAGAGAACUGGACAGAAGUCAAGGAUUGUGGACUGUAGCCUCUCGGUGCCGCAGCAAGAAGUAGUUUGCACAUGGUUCGUGAAGAGUGGGUGAGGAUUCCUGCACUUACUGACUUUCGUAAUACGUGGAGUAAGAGACUGUUACACUUCAGGAAGAAUGUAUUCCAUCAAAGCCUUCAGGGAGCAUGGGCAGCAUCGUGAAGAAAUGGUCUGUGUUCCCGUCUCAUCUGGCUUGUUAGUACGUCUGCGGCACAGGACUGGACACAGAUGCUUAUGGGACUCGCCUGGUCUGCUUGUUCCUGAGGAGCCCGUUGCUGGCAACGGACAGAGCUCGGAAAGAUCACUUGUGAAAAACUUUUUUUAAUUAUUUUUUAUUUUCUUUUCUUUCAUCACUACAGCAAGCUGUGUAAAAAGGGAAGGGCUAUGAGAAAGGGAAGCUACUGGGACCCACCAGCCUCCCCCCACAAGCUUGUAACGUCUUUGGAGGUCGUCGUGAGUAGGCUGGAACAAUGUCUCUCGCUGUUUACAUGACACUACCAGCCACCUCUCCGGAGGUGAUUUAGGCAGCAAGUCAGUAGAUGUGGCGUGGUGAGGAGGGGACAGCGUCUUGGAGAAAUAGCUCUGUGAGAAUUUGGGCACAGGGCCUCGGGGGCACAGGAAGCCAGUUAAUUCCUGCCUUCAAGGGUUUGAAACAGACACUAGGCUGAGCAGCAGCCUGUUAGCUAGGGAUUGAGAGAAAAAGCUAUAGAAACUAAAGACUCAUGUAUAAAUUAUUUUAUUUAUUUCUGUAAUUAGCUCUUCAUAAUCAAGAGUUGGUCUUUUUCAGUCUGUGGUUUUGUUAAUGUGAAAAAUAAGUUGUAGUUUCAAAUGGUUGCCUAGGGAACAGAAAUAAUUGUAUAUUCAGUUUAAACGAAAUAAAGAGUAUUUGUCUUACGUAA